rnacentral:lncRNA from 1 species
GUGAUGUGACUGAAAAAGAAUGCAGCUACUAUAUGUGGAGGCAGAAGUUCCCUGUCAGGCAGGAAAAUCAAGUAGAAAGAAGACUUGAAGUGGAGGAGUGGGUUAUUACGCUGGCAUUUCCACUUGGACAGCGACUGAAUAGGGGGAUGAGCUCUCCUGGAGUCUAUGCAUUUCUUCCCACGGAGAUGGUUACAAAUUUUCCCUUCAUUAUUCAGGCAGAUUUUGUUCUUGCAUCAUCCAGGGAAACAAUCCUCUUGGACAACAAAUGGAACCAAGGCAUUCUCGAUUGUGUGCCUUCUGCUUUUCUUAAUGCCCUUAUUUCACUGGUUACAACAUCAGAAGAUGUUCCAGUUUCUACACUGACCCCAAUGUUUAAGUUCUUACCUAUUGACAGCUCUUCUUAUCCAAAGCUCAAUGUCGUGAGGGAGUCUAUCAAAGCAAAACUGCUCAAGGAGAAUAUCAUACCAUGUGAGUCGUAUUCAGACCAGAAGAUCUUUCGUAAACCUUGUGAAGUGGGUAGGUUAAUGCCUUCUUUCUGGAAUAUCCUCAAAAAGGCAAGGAAUCAAGGGGUAAGCUUGGAUUCUCUGUCAUCCCAUGGAAGCUAUAUCCUGAAUUCUUCAUUUGAUACAGAGGAGUACGAUCACAUAUUGAAUUUCCUUGGUGUGAAACCUGUCAAUAGCGAAUGGUAUGCCACGUGUAUCAGGAGUUCCAAUCUUCUCUUGGGAGUGACAGAGGAUGAUUAUUUGGAACUUCUACUCUUUAUUGCUGAGAAAUGGAGUUCCUCUUUCCACAGCACGGACAUGAGGAAUGUUCCUCUCCUGAAAUAUGUUGGUCCUGAUGGAAAUGUUGUUUUGUGCCCUACAAGCAAUGUCUCAAUGUGGAAUGGUGGAAGUAUGAUUUGUAUGUCCCGUGAGUCUCAGCAUAUUUCAUGGUUGAUAGACUGGAACAGGGAAUUUAGACGUGUGACAGAUCGAUAUUUUAUGCCCAAAAGCACACAAGAAGCUAUCAAAGUUUUUUCUAAGAGAGAGACUCUGUUGGAAUGGCUUCAAAAUCAAGUGAAGGUUCGCGUUGUCAGUGUGUACGACUUUGCUGUCAUUCUUUAUAAUUCUUUUAAGGGUGACCGACAGCUUGCUAUUGCCUAUGUUCACUUCCUUUAUCAUUCCCUCUCGAAGAGUUAUCUACCAAAGGGGGAUGUUGACAAUUUGUGUCGUAUCAUGCCACUUGUAGAUAACUAUGGGCAUGUGAGCACUCAGAGAAAAGGUGUUCUCGUUCCUGCUAACGGAAGCAAAUGGGUGGGAUUAAUGGGUGCAAAUCCGUGGAGGGGAGCAGGCUAUGUUGAGCUGGGAGAAGACUAUUUGCGCUCGGGCAGUUAUGCAGGUUCAUUCACACCAGAGAUGCAGCUAAUGACGUUUCUCAAAACUCAUGUUGCAGCUUCUGAUAUACCUGAUAUAUCUCCUCCCGACGCCGAGUUAUCUGCCGCAUAUGCACCACUCACCAAGCAAAAUGCAUUCUUGCUGUUGGACUGGAUUCACAACCUGAAAUAUAAGCAAGGUCUGCCAGCUAAGUUCCUGACAUCCAUUAAGAUGGGAAGCUGGCUCAAAAUUUCCCUCAGUGGCAGUCCUGGAUAUAGGCCACCAUCACAGUCUUUCCUGCUUGCUUCAUCAGAUGAAAAUCUUCUGCAGGAUGAGUCAGUAAUGGUUGAUAUUCCAUUGAUUGACCAAGGAUUUUAUGGAAAUGGCAUCAAUAAUUAUAAGGAGGAGCUCAAAACUGUUGGAGUAAAGUUUGAAUAUGGCGAAGCGUGUGAGUUUAUAGGGAGGCACCUCAUGUCUCUUGCAGCUUCCUCUGCAUUGACUAAAUCCAAUGUGUUUCAAAUACUUAAGUUCAUCAGAUUUUUGAGACUUAGAUGUCUUCCGGCUGAUAAAUUCAUCCAGAGCAUCAAAGAUGGAAGGUGGUUGAAGACUUCCUGUGGUCACAGGUCUCCAGUUGGAUCUGUUUUAUUUGACCAGGAAUGGGAAGCUGCAUCACAAAUAAGUGACAUCCCCUUCAUUGACCAAGAUCACUAUGGCAAGGAAAUCCUUGGUUUCAAAAUGGAACUCCAAUUGCUUGGUGUGCUGGUUGGCUUUAACAAAAAUUACCAGCUUGUUACCGAUCACUUCAAGUCUCAAGCAUGCUCAAAUUGUCCAACAGCCAAGUCUAUUCUUUUGAUAUUUGAAUGCAUGUGGGAUUGCGAGCGCAAUUCAAGAUCAGCCCAUGAGCUUGUGCAUGCGCUUAAAGGUAAUAAAUGCUUGAAGACGAACAUGGGCUACAAGUUUCCUAGUGAAUGUUUCCUGUUUAAUACUGAGUGGGAUUCGCUUCUGAAAGUCUUCCAUAAUGAUUUUCCACUUAUUGAUGAAAACUUCUAUGGAACCAGCAUCUUGUCUUACGAAAAAGAGUUGAGGCAAGCAGGUGUAGUGGUGGAUUUUGAAGCAGCGACCCAGAAAUUUUUAGCUGUUUUCAAGAAGCAUGCAUCCUCGUCUUCUAUUGGAAGAGAACAUGUUCUGUCUUUUCUCAGGUCUUACGGACAGAUUAAUAAGACAAACAAGAAGUUUCCUUCAGAUUUUAAGCACAACAUUUGUGAGGCAAAAUGGCUGCAAACACGGCUUGGUGUUCCUAGAUCACCAAGAGAGUGCAUUCUUUUUGGCCCAGAAUGGGAACCUGUAAGUUCAAUUACUGUGCUUCCUUUCAUUGAUGAUAGUGACAAGUACUAUGGCAAGAGAAUUCAUGAAUAUAGUAAAGAGCUGAGGAGCCUGGGUGUUACCAUCAAGUAUAAAGAUGGGGUGAGGUUUGUGGCUGCAGGUGUCUACUUUCCCCAAGAUCCCAGCACCAUAACUCCUGAAAGUGUGUUCUCUCUGCUGCAGUGCAUCCAGAUAUUAAUGAAAGAUGGUUAUACUUUGACUGAUGCUUUCCGGUCAAAGGUUUCUCAAAGUUGGUUAAAAACCAAUGCUGGGUAUAGGUCUCCAGGCCAAUGUUUGUUGUUUGGCUCUGAGUGGGGUUCUUUCUUACAGAGGAACGAUGGACCUUUCAUUGAUGAAGAAUUCUAUGGCCCCAACAUUACAGCCUACAAGAACGAGCUCAGAGAAAUUGGAGUGACCGUUGAUUUGUUAAAUGGGUGCUCUUUGCUUGCUGGCUAUCUUGAUUUUCAUUCUGAAUUUUCAACCAUUGUUCGAGUCUAUAAUUACUUGAAUGAACACGGCUGGUCGCCUUCCAAUGAUACUCCUAGAAGGAUCUGGAUCCCUAAUGGGAGUGACAGUGGAGAGUGGGUUAGUCCUGAAAAAUGUGUUAUUCAUGACAAGGAUGGUCUCUUCAGUUCACAGCUGAAUGUUUUAGAGAAACACUAUAAGCCGGAAUUAUUCAGCCUUUUCUGCAGAGUCAUGCAAGUUAAAUCCAAUCCUUCUAUUGAUGACUACUGCGAACUUUGGAAUAACUGGGAAAAUUCAAGGGAGCAACUGUCACGUUCGGAGUGUUGUGCUUUCUGGGCCCAUGUUUCAAAGCACUGGAGUAAAAACACACAGAAAACUCUUGCCGACAGCUUGUCAAAACUGCCAGUUGAAUCAGGAUCGGAGAGAAUAAUGCUGUUUGACAAACGUGAUGUUUUCAUUGCAGAUGACCUCCAGCUGAAGUAUCUUUUCCAACAAUCUUCGCCUCACUCAAUUUUUGUGUGGUAUCCCCAGCCAAGCAUCCCUUCCUUGCCCCGGACUAAGCUGCUUGACAUCUACAGGGAAAUUGGUGUUCGUUCUAUCUCUAAAUCUGUACAGAAGGAAGAAAUCUCCAAGUUGGAGGCCAGUGAACUCAAGCAAGUGUCUCAGAAGGAAACUUUGAUCGGAAAAGGCCUGCUGAAACUCAUUCUUGGCUUUCUCGCUGGUCCUUCUAUUGAAAUGGAAGCAGGACAAAGGCUGGAAGCUGUCAAAGGCCUUCUCAAUCUUAAGGUGUUUGAGACGGAGGGGCAAACUGCAGCAAGCUACAGAUUGUCAAUGUCUUCUGGGGAAACCAUGGACGUUGAUGCAAGAGGAAUGAUGCGCUGGGACCGGGAGGAUUCCAAGCUUUUCAUGCAGAAGAUGGAUAUAUCGGGUGGACAUAAAAAUAAAAUCGAAUAUGCUACAAUCUUCGCUGAAGUAAUAUCAGAGGGCGUCUUACAGGAGAAAGAAGACCAUAUAUCUGAUCUCGCCGAACUGAUCAAGUUGGCAUUCUUCCUGGAUUUUGAUGAGGAAGCAGUUGGGUUCUUGAUGAGAUCCAAGAAUCUCCAAGUUUUCUUGGAGGACGAGGAGCUUCUCUCUUCAGCCCUUUCUCUCGACUAGGUAUGCAUUCUAUGCCAUGACCAAUAAAUAGUUGAAAGUGUCAUUUUCCUUAUAUUUCCCCGUUUGAAGUGUGUACUGGUGUGUGCUAUUAGAAUAUUAUAUAAUGUAUAUGAAUCUGGUGUGAAAUGGCUGAUUUAGGCAGCCUAUAUUGUGAUAAUUAUGCCCUUGUGCUUGCCUUUUUUAUUAAAUCGAUUUAAUAUUAAUUGACAUGCAAGAGACAAAAUUAAAUAUUUAAAAGGAGAUGCAUGUGAAGAUCUAAUCUACUCAUAUGUUUUCAAACACUAAAAGUAAAAAAAAAAUUAUAUUGUAAGAGUUCAACUUUAACAUAUCAAAUUAUAAAAAAAUAAAAAAAUUACAAUAUAUCAUCCUUAAAAUAGAUGGUUGCAAUUUUUUUUUAAUCCUCAUUAAUUAUUUUUUAAAUGACUAUAUUAUUUGCUAUAGAGAAUACUCCAUCUCUAUACCUAAAUUUAACACUUGAAGAAAAAUUUUCUUCGGCUUUGAACCCCGUGAAACUCGGUUGCAUUAGAAGUUACAAAUAAAAAUGAUUUCAUUACUUUAAUAAGAUAAUAUGAGAGUAUUUGAUAUAUAAAAUUAAUAAAUGAACAUAGUCUAAUAUUUAAUUUAAUUUAUUAACCAUAUUAUGGAUUUUUUAAUUAAUUUAUUUAAUGUCAAAAAAUCUUUUUUUAGGUCUAAUAAACCCAAAAAAAAAAAAAAUUAAAACAUGUUAGGUAUUGUUUUGUUUAAUUGUUAUUAGAUUAUUAGAAAACAAUUUGGGAGUAGUUAUUAAUCGUUUUCAAAAACAAAAUUAUAUUUGAUAUUUUAAAAAUAGUUCAUUGAUUUUGUUCUCAAUGAAAGUACCAUAAACUUUAACAUAAAAUAUAAUUUUUUUUCUAAAUGUGUUCUAUAUUUUUAAUUGUUUAUUAAGACAUUUGAAAAUAUGUUAAAUUUAUUUUCAAAAUAAUAUGUUAUCAAAAUAAAUUUUGAAAAACGGUUUUGUUUCAAAAGUCUACCAACUAUUUUCUAGGUUGGAAAAUUGGUUUUAGUUAUACAAUAAUAAUUUCCAUACGGAUGCUUGAGAUAUGGAUUUAGUACCAUAUUAAAUUUAUGUAUUUAAAUAUAAAUCAUUGAAUAAAAAUAUAGCAAAAAAAAAGAUAUUUAAAUGUAAAUAUAUUGGACCACGUUAUAAAAAAAUAAAAAAAACAAGAGAACGAGACUAUUACAAGUAUCGAAGUAUGAAAUUCAAGGUGCCCACAUAAACCUUUUUUAUUGAGCACCAUUCUAUAUAAAGAUUUAUUUGAAAACUUAUUUUGAAAAUAGCUUUGUGUUUAAAUGUCUUUAUAGUUGAGAAACAAUAAAUUCAUAUUUCCUUUUUUUUCAACUUCCAUGCAAUACCUAUAGAGUCACUGUGAUUCUUGCAAAUGAGUUGAACUUGAAUCCCAAAAGUGAAUAAAAAAUUGGAUCUACAUUGAAUUGUCUUGUUGAUCUACGUUAAAUUGCCUCAUCAAUUCUUUUGAGUAAAAACUUGAUCUUAGACUUAAUUCAAACAAAAGGAGUACAUUAUGCUAAUGUAUCUUGAAUGAUCCACAUCUCAAGGUAGUUGGCCCAAUAUAUCGGGAUGAUUGGCUUAAUGAGCAUAGGGGUGGUUGACCCAAUAAGCACAUUGAAGAAUUAAUGUGACUAGUCUUGAUGUUUUUAUAGGGAUGGUAAUGGAUAAGUUUUUUUUGUACCAUCUAUGCCCAUGGGACAAAUUUGAAAGAAAUGUAUAUUGAAUGGGCUUUAUUGUUGUUUUUUCUUAAAAAAAAAAAAAAACUAGAGUCAUCAAAGAAGGUUUUCUUACCAAACCUAAUUAUAUAAAAUUAGAUAAAAAUAAUUUCAUUUCAUUUUCUUUUGACAAAAUUAAAAUUAAAAAUUUUGAAAAAUAAUUUAAAAAUUAAAGGAGAUAUGAGAGAGGUAAGCAUGGGAAAUUGCUAGGGUGCAACUUGGGCGGGUUGGAUUGGGCCAACCCAAACCUAACCCUCUAUUUGGACGGGCUUAGAUAGAUGUUUUUAAUAUUUGGGUUGAACUUGUAUUAAGUUUUCUCAAUAUGAACCCAACCCAAACCGGUUUAAUGUUUUUAUACUUGUAUAAUAAUAUUCAUCUCCUUUUCAAAUUUUAAAAAUAUCAAAUUAUAAAUAUAUCAUAUACUUCUCAUUUAUAUAUAUAUAUAUAUAUAUAUAUAUAUAUAUAUAUAAGUUUAUUUUUAUUAUAAAAUAUGAAAUUUUGUACCACUAUGGUAACUUAUGGAUGAUCAUCCAUAAAUAUAUUUUAUAACUCUUUAUAAAAGGAAGAGACUUCUAAUGAAAUUUAAUAGAGUUUUCUAAUACAUUCUAUUAUCUCUUUCUUGAUUUCUUCUUCUCUCAUUUUGUUUUAUAAUAAUUUUUACUUUUUUAUUGUUAUCUUGAAAUUUUGUCUUAUUUUUUAUAUAAAUAUAUAUAAUUUAAAAAAAAAACCAUUAUGAAUAAAUUUUAAAUUAUGCAACCCAACCAAUUCCACUCUUGUCCAAUCAACUUGAGUUUAAUUCUAUUAACCCAAUUUUAAUCCAAGUUUAAAAAAACAAGAUUGAGCACUUCAAGUUAGAAAUCGGAUUAAAUUGAGUUUGGGUUAAUCAUUUCUUAAUUUAAAUUAAACUCAAGUUAACUUUCAACCUAUUCAAGUUGUAACCUUAGAAAUUCUAUACCUAUCUCAAUCUACCAUUUUUUAGUUAAAACUUUUUUUAGGAUGGAAAUAUGAGUAAUUUUAAAUAAUAUAAGUACCCAUCCUCAUCCAUUGAGUUGCUAUCCCUAGUGUUUUUAUAGGAUUGCCACCCUCUAUUUUGAGUAUUUUUAGAAGAUUGUCGGUCUCGUUAUUAGCUCAUAUUUAUAGUUUAAUCCUCUUGGAGACUCCCGUUCUACUUGUACAGUCACUUAUAUGUUUUUUUAUCCAUCUCCCUUUGGAAAAUGAGAGGAAAAGACAAUGCAAGAACUCUAUGGUCCAUAAAGACUCGGCGUGGAGGAAUGGUGACGUCACUUUCUAGUACAAUGGGCCAAACUUUUUUCUCAUUUUCCACUAGGUGGGUGCCUUUUAAAAUCUUUAAAUUUUUAUUUUUUAUUUUUGUUCAUUCUUUAUUAAUUCCUUCUCCACUUUCUAAUUCCUUCGCCCGGAGGUUUCCCCUUUGGUUAAAGUUAAUCAUUAAAGGUAAAAAAAGAUUAAAUAAAAUAACAUUUUCAUUAAUAAUCGCAUUAAAGUGAAUCAUCAAAGUUAAUAUGAUUAAAUAAUAUAAUAUUUUGACUAAUAAUUAAGGAUUUAAUUAAAAAUUAUUCUUGAAAUUAGUUUUAUAUCACUUCUUAAUUGUUUUUAGAAAUAGAAUUACAUUUGAUAUUUGAAAAAUAGUUUUUUUUUUUAUCUUAUUUUUCAUUAAAGUAUUAUUAGCAUAAAAGUUUUUAAAAUAUUACUUAUAUUUUCAAUUAUUACUCAAAACACUUUAAAAGUAAUAAACGAAAAUAUCUUAAAUUUGUUCUCAAAACAAUUCAUCUUUAAAAUAAUUUUUCAAAAAACUAUUUUUUUUUUCAAAAGUCUAUUAAAAUUGUUUUCUAAGUUAGAAAAUUGCUUUCAAUUAUAAAAAUAGAGGUUGUUCAAAAAUGUUUUUGAAAACAAUAUUAAAAAAUAUUUGUAUGAUAAUUUCUAAAACAAAAUUUUGUUUAUAAAUUUGAAAUGUUUUAAUUUAUUUUGUGUAUUUAAAUAUUCCUUAAAAAUAUUUUUUUUAUAUGUAUUGAUUGUUAUUUAAAAAAGUUUUAAAAAACAAGAAAAACCAUUAUAUAUUCUAAAGAAAAUAAAUCAUAUUUUUAUAAUAAUUCUCAAAAACCUAUUUUGGGAUAACCAAUAAAAAAACAAAUUUUGAUUUUUUUUUUUUUGUUAAAAUAGCUCAAAAAUAUAACCUAAAAGGUUGUUUUCAAAAAUAGUUUUAAAAUAUAUCCUUAGCAUAUGGAUUUGGUAUCAUAUCAAAACUCAAAAUAUGAAUCUUUAUGUGUAUGAUUAAAAAUAUAUCACUAAGUAAAAAUAUAAAAAAAAAUGAAAUAUUUAUAUAAAUAUAUAGGACCAAAUUAUCAGGGAAAAAAAACAUUAAAAGUAUAAACAAAUGAAAUUUGUAGUUUUUGUAUAAACAUUUUAGCCUAAGUAGUGUUAUAUAUAUAUAUAUAUAUAUAUAUAUAUAUAUAUAUAUAUAUAUAUAUAUAAAGGCUUAUUUGGUAAUGGCUAAUAAUAAGUUCUAUUUGGAAAACAUUUAUUUAUUUACAAAAAAACAGAUUUGAUCAAUUUUUAUUAUUAUUGAAUAUAUAUAUAUAUAUAUAUAAUAACAAAUUUGAGUUGUUUUAGAAAAACAAUUGAAAAUAUGAUAUUUAAAAAAAUUUUACAUUAUGUAUUAUGUACAGGUGUAUAAUACAUGGAAUAAGCUUUCCAAAUUAAAUUCUUUAAGAAAAUUUUGUUUGUAAAAUAAAUUGAGAAGUAUUUUAUGUAAUAAGAGUUUUUUUUAAAAAAACUCUGUAAAAAUUUAUAUUUAGGAAAAUUGCUAAGUUAUCAAAUAGUUAUUAUAUCAACCACUAAAUCUAAAUUAUUGAUCUUCAUAAUUAAAUUUGAAUGAUUGAAUAAAUGUAACAUGAAAUGGGAUCAUAAUGGAAAAUUAGGAAUCAGGUAUAAAAGAAUAAGCUUCUCAAAUGGAAAUUCAUUCAAUUAUAAAUUUCUCCAUUUUUGGAUAUAUUUUUCAAUCACAAUUCUAUAGUUUUUUAUACGAUUUAUCUUUAUUUAAAAAAUAAAAUAAAACAUGCCUUUUUCUUCACUGUAAUUCGUUGAAUCAAAUUUUUAUAAGAUUUAGUAAUUAUUUUAAAUUAGAAAUUUCAAACAAAAAAAUCGGAUAAUAUAAAAUUAGGUAGAAAUAAAUACAAAUAAAUCUAUUUUACACGUGGUCGUUUAUUAUUGGGCAUAUCGAAAAUAAUCAAAAUACACCACUUUUAAAUCUCACUCCCCACAUGCAAGGACGAUUCCAAAUUUCCAACUUCAUGGAACCACACCUCGUAGACCCGAGCAAGUCUCCUCGUCCGUACGUCUCGCCCCUUUUUUUUCUCUUUCUUUAGUUGAUGUCGAUUCCGUUGAUUGCUUACUUCCUUCACAAGUUUUGCUUCUUUACUAAGUUUCUCACAUUCUAGUCCACACAAAACGACGAUGGAUUGGACAUUCUUUAAAUGCGUCUCUUUUAUAUAUGUAGACACUUCUGUGUGUUGCCAUUCAGUGCCCUUGGCAUCUUUCUACUGAGAGUGAAGACUGAGAGUGCUUUGUGUGAAUCGAGAAGGAGGAGUGGUCGUAAUGGCGACGCCGGAGGAGCAUAUAAAGGAGAUAAGGAGGACGAAGUUCUCGAUUGGAGGAGAGCUGAAUCCGCUGACGGAGGAUCUUCACCAGGCGGUGAAGAAUCUCUCAGCUGAGCUUUACGCUAAGGAUGUUCAUUUCCUCAUGGAACUCAUUCAGGUCUGUGCUUUAUAUGUUUGUCUUGUUGUUUUUAGAGAUGUGAUGAGCACUCUGCGUUGUAUGCAGCCAUUGUUUUGUCAUGUUAUUUAAAAUUUUGAGCGCUUUGAGCGCUGCUCUGUUCCUCUGCUAGAAAACCAAGGAAAAUGACGGUUAUGAGACUUUUGAAUAUUUUGUUUUCUUUAUAUGGUAUUUGUUUCUUGGAGAUGACUAACUAGAGAUUCAUAAUUAUAUGAUAUAUCUUUGAAGUAAAAAUCAACUUAGGAAAGUAUAUGAUAUAUUUAUAAUUUGAUAUUUUUAAAAUUUAAAAAGGAGAUGAAUAUUAUUAUACAAGUAUAAAAACACUAAAUCAGGUUUGGUUUUGGUUCGUAUUGAGAAAACUUUAACACAAGUUCAACCCAAAUAUUAAAUCGGUGCACUAACUUUCUGAAGAAUAUGUUACUUAUCUAUUAUUCUAAUUCGAUCAUUAUGAUCGGAAAGUGAAGUGAUAUGGAUUGAGAAUUAGUUUUGCACUAACUUUUUGAAGAAUAUGUUACUUAUCUAUUAUUCUAAUUCGAUCAUUAUGAUCGGAAAGUGAAGUGAUAUGGAUUGAGAAUUAGUUUUGUUACAUUCAAACUUCGGUUACAUUUUUUUGGUCUUGGAAAAUCUAAAUGUGAAGAAAUCACAUAUUCUAAAUUUUACAUAACAGAAUGCAGAAGAUAAUGACUACCCGGAAGGUGUAAAUCCAUCACUGGAGCUCGUUAUAACUUCACAGGACAUAACUGGCACUGGAGCAUCCGCGACAUUGUUGAUUUUCAACAACGAAAAAGGGUUUUCAGCUAAAAAUAUUGAGUCUAUCUGCAGUGUUGGGAGGUCCACCAAGAAAAACAAUAGGAAGUGUGGCUAUAUUGGAGAGAAAGGUACCUUCAUUUUUUUACUCUUUCGCUCAUAUCUCUCCAUCUUCCAUGCUGUAAAUUUUAAAACGAAACAGAGCAAGCUCUAACUCUCUGUCUGCAAAAAGAAAUUCUUUCUUUUCGAUAAUCCCUAGUCAACGAUAGACUGUCUCCCGAUUGUCUCUGUGAAACAAUCGGAAGACAACAAGGAUUAGAUAAAAUGAGAAAUAGAGGUAUGUGAUAGUAGAAAGUGAUCUAUCUUGGUUCUAUAUUUUUAUGCAUUUCAUUAAUACUGGGAACAAAAGAAACAAGGGGUCUUAUUAUUCUUACAUGUUCAUUAGUAACAUUCCCUUGAUACUUUCCAAGGGUAUCACUCGUAUUUUGCUUAUGCUUAAUGUUUUCUGAUUCUACUAGAAAUCUUAUAAGAACUUGUUUUGUUAUAAGUGGAUUUAUGGGAUUGGUUCUUCAAUGGUCUUGGGUCAGAAUCCUAUUUUGACUCUGCAUCAUCGAUUCCACUAUUAUUAGUGAGCAAUAAUGGAAAAAUUCUUUCAUAUUCAUAGAAAUAAGGGACAUAAUUUACAUGGAUAUAGUAAGUUUCGCUUGGGCUGCUUUAAUGGUAGUCUUUACAUUUUCUCUUUCACUCGUAGUAUGGGGAAGAAGUGGACUUUAGAGGUACUAUUGAUUCAGUUGAGAAUCUUUAACUACAGAUCAAGUAUAUCCUCAAUUCUUAGAACCUCUAGUGUAGAAACACUUUAUUCAUGUCAAAAAGUUAGCUUAAUCAAUUCAGCUAGACACCCCAACUUUGGUCUUUACUAAGUCAACCUUCUCCUUUGCUUAACUUGCUAGCCUAAGAUGUACACGACUUAAAAGCUAAAAUGAAAACUGUGGGCAAGACUUUUGGUCUUUACUAAGUCAACCUUCUCCCUUGCUUAACUUGCUAGCCUAAGAUGCACACGACUUAGAAGUAUUUCUUAUACAACUUGUCGUCUUGCUAAUAUGCAGGAAUUGGGUUCAAGAGUGUAUUUCUAAUCACAGCACAACCUUACAUAUUCAGUAAUGGAUAUCAGAUACGAUUCAAUGAAGAGCCUUGCCCGCACAGCAAUCUUGGGUACAUAGUCCCUGAAUGGGUUCAGUGGAAUCCAACUCUUGAUGACAUAAAGCAAAUAUACGGUUCUCAUGCAGUCCUUCCAACCACUACCAUAAUCUUGCCUCUAAAGCCUGACAAGAUCGGCCCUGUGAAGGAACAGCUCUCAAGUAUUCAACCUGAAGUUCUAUUAUUUCUUUCAAAGAUUAAGCAGUUUUCUGUCAAGAAACAUAAUGAGGAUCCCAGGCUCAAUACGGUGAAUGCUAUAUCUAUUUCAAGUGAAAUUAACUUUGUUAAAAGGAAGAAUAUUGAUGCUGAUUCCUAUAUUCUCCAUCUCUCCACGGAUGGAGCUAAGGAUGUGACUGAAAAAGAAUGCAGCUAUUAUAUGUGGAGGCAGAAGUUCCCUGUCAGGCAGGAAAAUCAAGUAGAAAGAAGACUUGGAGUGGAGGAGUUGGUUAUUACGCUGGCAUUUCCAUUUGGACAGCGACUGAAUAGAGGGAUAAGCUCUCCAGGAGUCUAUGCAUUUCUUCCCACGGAGAUGGUUACAAAUUUUCCUUUCAUUAUUCAGGCAGAUUUUGUUCUUGCAUCAUCCAGGGAAACAAUCCUCUUGGACAACAAAUGGAACCAAGGCAUUCUAGAUUGUGUGCCUUCUGCUUUUCUUAAUGCCUUCAUUUCACUGGUUACAACAUCACAAGAUGUUCCAGUCUCUACACUGACCCCAAUGUUUAAGUUCUUGCCUAUCUACAGCUCUCCUUAUCCAAAGCUCAAUGAUGUGAGGGAGUUGAUCAAAGCAGAACUGCUUAAGAAGAAUAUCGUACCAUGUGAGUCGUAUUCAGACCAGAAGAUCUUUCGUAAACCUUGUGAAGUGGGUAGGUUAAUGCCUUCUUUCUGGAAUAUCCUGAAAAAGGCAAGGAAGCAAGGGGUAAGUUUGCAUUCUCUGUCAUCCCAUGGAAAGUAUAUUCUGAAUUCUUCAUUUGAUACAGAGGAGUACGAUCACAUAUUGAAUUUCCUUGGUGUGGAACCUGUCAAUAGCGAAUGGUAUGCCAAGUGUAUCAAGAGUUCCAAUCUUGUUUUGGGAGUGACAGAGGAUGGUUAUUUGGAGCUUCUACUCUUUAUUGCUGAGAAAUGGAGUUCCUCUUUCUACAGCACCGACAUGAAGAAUGUUCCUCUCCUAAAAUAUGUUGGUCCUGAUGGAAAUGUUGUUUUGUGCGCUACAAGCAAUGUCACAAUGUGGAAUGGUGAAAGUACGAUUUGUAUGUCCCGUGAGUCUCAGCAUAUUUCAUGGUUGAUAGACUGGAACAGGGAAUUUAGACGUGUGACAGAUCGAUAUUUUGUGCCCAAAAGCACACAAGAAGCUAUCAGGUCUUUUUUUAAGAGAGAGACUCUCUUGGAAUGGCUUCAAAAUCAAGUGAAGGUUCGGGCUGUAAGUGUGAAAGACUUUGCAGUCAUUCUUUGUAAUUCUCUUAAGGGUGACCGACAGCUUGCUAUCGCCUAUGUUCACUUCCUUUAUCAUUCCCUCUCGAAGAGUUAUCUACCAAAGGGGGAUGUUGACAAUUUGUGUGGUAUCAUGCCACUUGUAGAUAACUAUGGGCAUGUGAGCACUCAGAGAAAAGGGGUUCUCGUUCCUGCUAACGGAAGCAAAUGGGUGGGAUUAAUGGGUACAAAUCCGUGGAGGGGAGCAGGCUAUGUUGAGCUGGGAGAAGACUAUUUGCGCUCAGGCAGUUAUGCAGGUUUAUUCACAUCAGAGAUGCAACUAAUGACGUUUCUCAAAACUCAUGUUGCAGCUUCUGAUAUACCUCAUAUAUCUCCUCCCGACGCCGAGUUAUCUGCCGCAUAUGCACCACUCACCAAGCAAAAUGCAUUCUUGCUGUUGGACUGGAUUCACAACCUGAAAUAUAAGCAAGGUCUGCCAGCUAAGUUCCUGACAUCCAUUAAGAAGGGAAGCUGGUUCAAAAUUUCCCUCAGUGGCAGUCCUGGAUAUAGGCCACCAUCAGAGUCUUUCCUGCUUGCUUCAUCAGAUGAAAAUCUUCUGCAGGACGAGUCAGUAAUGGUUGAUAUUCCUUUGAUUGACCAAGGAUUUUAUGGAAAUGGCAUCAAUUGUUAUAAGGAGGAGCUCAAAACUGUUGGAGUAAUGUUUGAAUAUGGCGAAGCCUGUGAGUUUAU